rnacentral:lncRNA from 1 species
GCUGUCGGGUUUCCGGGAGAGGGCGCUGUCCUUGCUCAGUGAUGGCCGGAGAGCUGCACCCUGCACGUCUGGGCUUGAAGACAGAAAUCCACCGUGAGGUGCUCCAAGGAACACUGAUGGGCAGUUUUGUUAAAGUGAUUGAACUCCGUGGGUACAGGAGUACGUGGAGUAAUGAAGGAUAAUGCCCUGUAACCGCUUCCUCUUAGGAAUGCUAGCUUUCACAAUUGUGCAAACGAUGGAGAAAAGAACAAAACAGUUACAUUAUUGAAUAAACAUUAAACCAGACUGCGAUGUGCGUCACAGGCAACCCACUAAUGAGUUUAUGAAGACAGGAAGAACUAUCAUUUUUUGUAUUAGCCGGUCUGGUACAACGCAUUCUAUUUCCUCAAGCAUAAGGAAUAAAACUGUUCUUUUGAAAUGAAGAAGAGAACCACCUAGGAGACUAUCACCCUGACCUGAGGACUUCACUAGGGAUUCAGGAAAGAAGACACAGAAAGAAAGCAAUCCUCAAGGAUCAGAAUGGCCAGCAGGAGGCCAUAUGCACCUAAACCAGAUGGAAGAAAAUGGCCCGGGGUGACCAGCUGGCUCUCUUUAUCAAGCUCAGACUCCUCAAGUCCCCGCUUGGAAGAACAGUCACAGAUUCCAUAUACAGGAAUUCAAGAUCUCCAAGCAGCAGGGAGGGGGUUCAGAAUACAUAUUCAAGUUGUUGCAGCUCAAAACACUGAUGUAGACAUGGCUGGCACCAACGUGGCUCUAGGACAUACUCCAGCUGCACUAGGGAGGUGAAGCAGGAAUUCACUGAGCCCCAAGGAAUGGGAAACUGCUUCUUUUAGUUCUCCCAGAACUCUCCACAUUGAUCCCACUCUGGCUACCAGCACUAGCUGGACAGUAAUGACUCUCAGAGGUGAACACAAUAUGCCUCAACAUGCCUUUCUGGAAGUUCACAUAGGAACUGCACAGCACCUGAAUUCCAGUUCUGCAAAGCUCUUCUCUGAAUACUGGAGGUACCAGCAUGAUCCUGGCACUGCCCCUGCCUCCGCUGUCUGUCUAAUUGUAGCUCUCUGGGGCCACUCUUGUGAGUUUCUAAGUUCUGAGGACCUUAAUCUUUUCCACUGUUUCCCAGCCCUAGACAGGUAGCUGCUACCUGAUGUUGUCAUCCCGUGUUAGCUCAGUGUUCAUUUUUACCAU